UCGUUGUGAUGACGAACAAACUUUCCAUCUUGGUUGAGGAACAUUUUUUUUUUUUAAAACAUCGUUUUGCUAGACUCUCUUAUCCGCUCCCCCAUGCCCUGCUCAGUGAUGCCUGAUGGGAACGGCUCCUACUUACUCGCGUCACACACUUGGCAAAGCUGCUUGCUUGAGAACAGACAAGGGUGAGUGUUUGUGAUUGUACGUUGCGGGACAGAGUAGGCUACCACACUUUCCGGAAUGGCCAGAGCAUCCAAGAACAACUUCACUUCCAUCCUGUGACCUGGGACACUCUCUCAUCUUUCCAAGUCUCCAUUUCCCUUUCAUGUAAUGUGGAGCUCAUCAAGAUCACCCUGAUGACCUCCUUGAGUCGUGUUGUGGGGAGAACAUGAGCUAAUGCAUGCGGAAACAUUUUGGGAGUCUGCAAAGCUUGAAGGCGGAUGGAAGAUGUCGUUGCUCUUGCUAUCGAGCAUUCUACUGGAAAGCUGGGCAAAGAAGAGCAAUGUCUCCACGUGACCGUAAAGUGCGGUGUGCACAGACCGCUAGGCUGCGUCCUCUCGUGUGGGACGGUGCUGUCUCAAGCAGGUACUCCCAGCUCACCACUUCCUCGAGCGCGAUUUCAAAAGUCAUUCACUCCAUUUGACAAGGAGGAGGAGUCAGAGACAUCCUGAGAAGCAUUUUCCCUACCUCUGAAUAUGAAUAAGGUAAAUAA